AACACAGGUGCUGCAUGGCUGUCGUCAGCUCGUGUCGUGAGAUGUUGGGUUAAGUCCCGCAACGAGCGCAACCCUUAUCAUUAGUUGCUACGCAAGGGCACUCUAAUGAGACUGCCGGUGACAAACCGGAGGAAGGUGGGGAUGACGUCAAGUCCUCAUGGCCCUUAUGGGUAGGGCUUCACACGUCAUACAAUGGUCGGUACAGAGGGUUGCCAAGCCGCGAGGUGGAGCCAAUCCCACAAAGCCGAUCGUAGUCCGGAUUGUUCUCUGCAACUCGAGAGCAUGAAGUCGGAAUCGCUAGUAAUCGCAGGUCAGCAUACUGCGGUGAAUACGUUCCCGGGUCUUGUACACACCG
rnacentral:rRNA from 1 species